ACAGGGUGCACAGGUAGCAGGGCUGAAAAAAGCCGGAGUGGCUGUGGGCUGCUCCCGGAGAGCGAUGGGACAUCACAGCACACCACGGAAGGCCUUGUCCUUUCUGCAAGAGCUCCUUUCCCCUCGCCACUCCUUUUCUCCUAAGUCCCAAAAGCAUUUUGUAACCUGGGGAUUAUGUUCAGCAUAUUUCUGGUUAGCAAAGCAGGUUGACCACUCUGCCUUCCUACCUGUAGUUUGUCUGGAUCUGUUCUUGAUUUCCUUCUUCCGUUGAGUAUUCAAAAGUACUUGGUUUCUAACAGCAGCAUUGCUUGCUUCCCUCAACAGCCGUAAGCCAUUCUUUCGUAGAAUCAUAGAAUCAUCAAGGUUGGAAAAGGCCUCUAAGAUCAUCCAGUCCAACUGUUUUCCAAUCACCAAUGUUGCCCACUAAAUCAUGUCCCUCAGUAGAGCAUCUAAAUGUUUCUUCAACAGCUCUAGUGACAGUGACUCGGCCACCUCCCCAGGCAGCCCAUUCCUGUUGGGGAAUGGCUGCAAGAGCAGGGCGGCCAUGAGAAUAUGUACGAGCAUAGCUGGUGCAGCGGCACAGAUUGCAGAGCCAUGGGAAAAUACUAGGAGUUAGAUAGGAGUUACAAGGUCCUUGGGGCAGCAUGUAAACAGCGGGCCCACAUCGGCAGCUGUGCUCUUUGGAUGUGGGGUGGGGCUGACAAGUAAACUGGCUUAGCAGCACAGGGGUGAAUGCUGACUGAGCAUUGGUUAAGGCUGAGCAGCCCACCUAGCAGCCAAUGUUGUGCACCAAUAGUAAGCGAACACGUGUGUAUUGGAAACCUAUAUAAACCCUAUGUGUGCAACAGUAAAGUGAAGCUUGAUCACUCAAAAAAAAAAAAAAAAAAAGAAAAAAAACCUCUUCCUGGACACAGCCGACCUUCUUGCCUGUUUGCAGCCCAGCACAUGCCAUGUGGUGUGAGGGAUGGAGGGGAGAGCCCAGACCUUUGAGGAGCAGCUUAGGG
rnacentral:lncRNA from 1 species